rnacentral:rRNA from 1 species
UACAGAGGGGGCAAGCGUUGUUCGGAAUUACUGGGCGUAAAGGGCGCGUAGGCGGCCGCCUAAGUCAGACGUGAAAUCCCCCGGCUUAACCUGGGAACUGCGUCUGAUACUGGAGGGCUUGAGUGCGGGAGAGGGAUGUGGAAUUCCAGGUGUAGCGGUGAAAUGCGUAGAUAUCAUGAGGAAGACCAGUGGCGAAGGCGGGUCUCUGGACAGUUCCUGACACUGAGGCACGAAGGCCAGGGGAGCAAACGGG